ACCCACGUUGAUUUUAUUGAGUAAGUACGUCGAUGUCGUUCGAGCAGACAUCAACACUGGCUUGUUUCAUGUAAACCGCAAGGUCACAACAAAAGCCAAGCAUAUGAAAUAGUUUAUUUUCGAGUUAAGAAGAUACUCUCUUGAAGAAGUAAAUAUUAAUAUUUCUGAGACCGACAGAAUUUCUCACGUGAAAAGAUUUGAAACGUCGAUAACAUACAAGUUGAAUGUGGCCAACUUUUGCUGUCUCACACGUUUCAUUUUUACUCCUACAACUACAAAUUGAAAACUUGUUUCCUCGAGCAUUAUGUGACAGUCGAAUGUAUCUGCUUAAACUACAUACUUUUUCGAAUACGAAAGGUAUACAAUUGCCACUUGAAGGGAAAUGGUCAUGGAAAUAUGGUUUGGUGUGGUUCAAGCAUUUGAUUUCUGCACUCGUUGUUUUGAAUACUCUGCUUCUGCUAUUCUUUUUUGAAAACAUUCAGAGCAUUAAUAAUGAAGCAUGAAGGAGACUUGUUUCUUUUUUUUGAGGAGCACGUGGCAACUGUACACAAAUUUGUCGAAGGAUUCAUUAGCAGUUUGAGUGCCUUGAAGCAACUAUUGAGUUUGCUAUGAACAUCCCAAUAAGUUUAUUUAAGCCAGAAUGUUAAUUCAUAACGGAAAUGUUACCUCAUAUCUUCAAGUUUUUCUUUAAUAUAUUUGAAAAAAAGCAAUUGUUGCUUGUUGAAUUAUAACAUACGCCUAAAAGCUAAAUCAAUAGCCAUUCGAAAACUUCCCUAAAACGACUACGGAUGGCAUGUUAUCAACAGUAACUGAUUCAAAAAUAAAAUUUGCUCGGCAGGCACAUCCCCGUCAACUCUUAGUGGAUUCAAAUUAUGUUUUUCUUUCGACAAGAAAUUGAUUUCGAUGAUUACUAGAAAUCAUAAUGAAUAAUAUGAGAGAAAUUGUUCAAGAAAUGGCGCUUGCAUGGUUAGUAAUAAAGUUAAUUGUUUUGGAGAUCAGUGUUCAUUGUAUUAUCUUUUUUAAAGCUGUGAAGAGAUGGAAUUGUAAUCUCAUAAUGAUAAGCGAUCUGAAGCGAGCUCAUUUUCUCUUGAUAAGGACUCAGAUGAAUUAGAGGAAAUUACAUGGAUUACGACACGAAUAUUGAAGAUUUGUGUUCCCGAGAGUCAGAUAUAGAAACAAGAUUUUUUAUGCAAGUAGUCUCUGAUGUUUUUUAUUGGUUCUUACUGCCGUCAUGGUUGCAUUAGUUAAACAAGUCGUUUAUGACGUUUUAUUGAAUGGAAAAGUUUGCUCAUCUUUGGAUUGCAAACAAAGCUUAGAAAAUUUAGCCCUGCACGCAUGGAAAGUUUAUGUGUAAUAACUGCAAGCUUUUACAUCUACUUGGAUUAAUGAGAAAACCAUUAAGCAAAAGAACGAAACUAAUUUUAAUUUAAUUUUUCAAUUCAUCUUGUGUAAAAUCUAUAAUUUUAUAAACAUAAAUCAUCAUUAAGUAAACUUCAAUUGCUAGACACAUUAAAUUGUUCCCAUAACGUA